UACGGAAGGGGCGAGCGUUGUCCGGAAUCAUUGGGCGUAAAGCGCGUGUAGGCGGCCAGAAAAGUCCGCUGUGAAAACUCGAGGCUCAACUUCGAGCUGUCGGUGGAAACUUUCUGGCUAGAGUCCGGAAGAGGAGAAUGGAAUUCCUGGUGUAGCGGUGAAAUGCGCAGAUAUCAGGAGGAACACCGGUGGCGAAGGCGGGUCUCUGGGCCGAUACUGACGCUGAGGAGCGAAAGCGUGGGGAGCGAACAGG
rnacentral:rRNA from 1 species